CUGGAGCACACAGUGGUGCACCUUGACUCCUUGGAAGGCUGCCUUUAAGGUGAAAGGAGUGUGGGCCUGGAGUUCCCACAGUACCAGGCUGUGGGCCAGGCUGGCAGGAGACAAAGGCAGCCAGCCGGGACUCCCCUGGGAGCUGCAGUUCAGUGUUGAGAGAAGCCUUCUGCGCGGUAACCACUGUGUACUGUCUGGGGAGGGAGGACAAGAAGGACGUCAUUGAUCCACUACAGUCUGAUGAAUGCCACGAGAUG